ACAUCGAGAGGGGCACAGGAGCAGGGGGCUUGGGAGAAACAGCAGGACUUGCUCACUCGUGGACUGGGAGGGUAUAAAAGCCCAGGGAUCCUUUGCUCAGGGUCCCUCCUCUGAGGCACCUGCUCGGAGCUGUUUCUGUGUUACUGCCCUGUGAAUAAAUUGCUGUAUGGAACGAGACAUCUGAGGCUCUGCUGUGGGAAACCCGGGAUGGAACUGAUGCAAGCCCUGCUCUGCAAGCAAAAGGUUGGCCAAACCUGCUUCUGUGGGCCCUUAUCCUCCAGCUGAAGAGCAUAUGGGAGAGUUAUCAGAUGGAGAAGACAAAGGUCACACUGUCAUCUUCAGGAGGGACCGUGCUGAGAGGAGGCUGCAAGUGUCCUGACUGGAGUAACUUCCUUAAUGGUGAAGUCUGGCAGCUCUGUGGGCUGGCUGCCACCCCACACUGGGCAGCACUGCAGAGAAAACACUUUGUCUUUAUUGUUACUGGUGUUGCUCACCACCACAGUGUCUGAUAUUACAUUUAGCACCUGUCUCAGCCAUAGGGGGUUGGGUGGGUUUCAGCUCGUGCUCCUCUGAGUGGUGCCUGCUCCAAAUGCCCUCCAAAUGGCAGCGGUGUGGGUGAGGACAUCCCUGUCACCAUCACCAUCCACCCUGACCUAUCCCUUGGUACAGCAGAGGGCUUUGCAGGACCAGGUUGGAAUCACCAAGAACAGACUGGACACUUGGAAUCGCA